AUUCCAUGGUGUAGACAUUUCUUAAGAAGUUCCUUGAACCUCUCCCACUCAAUCAGAAGCUACUUUGUAGUACCUUUGCAGAAACAACAAAAUCUCAUUUCUAAACUU